rnacentral:rRNA from 1 species
UACGAAGGGUGCAAACGUUGCUCGGAAUUAUUGGGCGUAAAGCGCACGUAGGCGGUAUUGCAAGUCGGAUGUGAAAUCCCUCGGCUUAACCAAGGAAGUGCAUCCGAAACUGCUGUACUUGAGUACGAAAGAGGAUCGCGGAAUUCCCGGUGUAGAGGUGAAAUUCGUAGAUAUCGGGAGGAACACCAGUGGCGAAGGCGGCGAUCUGGGUCGAUACUGACGCUGAGGUGCGAAAGCGUGGGGAGCAAACGGG